UACGGCUAUAUCAUGUUGAUGCACCGAUUCUCAUCAGAUUGCCGAAGUUAAGCAACGUCGAGAAUGCUUAGUACCUAGAUGGGUAACCGCUUAAGAAUAUUAGGUGCU